rnacentral:lncRNA from 1 species
ACCUAUGUUCUUUACAUUAGGUUUAACAUCACUCUUCUUUAACCUAUGUUCUUUACAUUAGGUUCAACAUCACAUUUGUUUAACCUAUGUCCUCGACACUAGGUUUAAUGCCACUCGAUCUAUAGGUUUAUUCAUGUCCACCUAUAUAUAUUCCUUACUUAGCAUUCUCAACAUGUACUUGCAUGUACUAUUUUCAUACCAUGCUUAUCAUCUAUACCUUAGCAUAGCAUCAUUUUCUUUAAUCACUCUAGGGUUCUCAACCUAGAUUUUCAUGCACAUUUUAAUCUCAUAAUGUCAACAUGUAUUCUAACCAUUAUGCUCACAUGCAUUCAUAUUGUUAUGUAGCAUUAUACAACUUGUUCAUCAUGCAUUCUAUAUCUCAUCUUAACUUAUGUUAUCAACAUGCAUUUCAUCUAUGCAUCAUAUUUACAUGCAUCCUUUUAAUUUACAUGCAUAUAUACAUAUAGUCUUCUAUAUGCAUCUACUUUAGCAUUACAUCAUAUCAUGCAUUCUAGCAUUAUGCAACUUGCUCACUAUGCAUUUCUAUUUAGCAUUUAUAUUCACAUGCAUUGUUUAACACUUAGAUGCAUCAACACGAAUUCUUAAUUCGCUUAGACAUAAAGGCGACCUAGUCGCUUCGGUAAACCAACCCACCUUAACACGCGUUCCGAUUGAUCGUCGACACUUGCAAUCGGCCUCCCGCGGCAACCGUUGCCCGGUUUGGCCCGAACUCUUGCGCGACUUAGCGAACGACCUCCAAAUCGCGAUCCGUCUUUUCCGGAAGUUAUUCCUUGACUCCAAGGUGCUCCAGUUCCGAUCUCAUGAUUUUUAGACCUUUAUUCCGCGUGCUGCGGCUAUCUGUACCAAAACCGACCGUUUCGUCAAUAACUUCGCGUACGCUCGUCGGAUUGUCGAACCGAGCGCACCAACGCGUUCGUUAGGUCCCCAAUUAGGUUUCCAAGCACUCAAAAUAGAUCAAAACCCCACAUUAGCAAAAUCCCCAUUUGGGAUGCCCUAAUGCAACAUAGGCUUAAUACCUCGAAUUUGAUCUAUAAAACAAGCAAAAGAAAGCUUGUUUAUCAUCUAGAAGCUCAUCUAGGAGCAUUCGAACUCAUUCUAGGGUGUUUAAAGCAAACCCUAGAAAUCCACCAUUAGAGCCUCAUGUAGAAAACCAUGGAUUUCAUGGUGUCCUACGCUUCUACAAGGUUCUAAACACAUUAGAAGCUCCAAAACCCUAAGUUCUAGGGUUCAAAUCCCAUUCUACCACAAUCUACCAUUAGAGAGCUUGGGAGCUUACCUCUCAAAGAGCUCCAAAUGAGGAAGAAGAUGGAGAUGAAGAUGAGGGAGGGGAUCUUCUACUUGGUCCUCACCAUCUUCUCCUUUUCCUUCUCUUUUUCUUCUUCUCUUUUUCUUUUCCUCUUCUCUUUCUUCUUCUUCGGUUUGCACGAACAGAGAGAGAGAGAGAGGGCUGUGGGAGUGGGAGAGAGAGAGGAAAUACUCUCUCUAAUAACCCCUCAACAUGUAUUGUAACAAUAUCCACUUAGCCCCUCCAUGUUUUCUGUUUUUCCAACUUAACCCACUGAUCUGGGUCCCUUGUACCGGUACACGGGCUCUUGUACCGGUACAAGGCCCGACAGACAGCCAAAACCGAGAGCUGGCUCGCUCGGUUUCGCGGAUUUUGUACCGGUACAAGGCCCCCUUGUACCGGUACAGCGCCGUAGCACUGUUCCGUGAUGGUUGUACCGGUACAGCCAUCACUCUUGUACCUGUACAACAGCCCCAGAAUGCUGUUUUUCGAUUCGUUUCUAUUCGAUUUCGCACCGAUCAAUAUCAAAACCCUUCCAACUCUUUUAGAGCUUACUUUUAACCCUUCCAACAGUGUUGGAACAUUAAUUGAUCGCGUCCAACCAAUCCUCUUGAGUACUUUAGUCAAUUUGGCUAAAGUCCACAAUAUUUCGCCGAGAUCUCGGGGGUUACAUUCUCCCCUCCUUAAAAGAAUUUCGUCCGCGAAAUUCAAACCACAUCAACACUCGAUCUAUCGAGUUAUCAAGGGUAUCAACAUACCUUUCCACCCCAAUUUUCGACCACCGACAUUACACAUCAACCAUAUCAUUGGUGCAUCGGCCAAUCGCGAGUGCUUCAAUCUCAAUCAAAUCCUUGCUCUAUCACGAGACAGCGCGUCUCAAUCUCGAUCCUUUUGAGAGUAAUAUCUACACUCCAAUCCUCACGUGGCUACCGAUCAUUCAAGUGCCUCCUAGAGGCCACUUAACUUUACCUUUAUCCUUGGGUACCAUAAGCCACAAUCAAUCUCACACGAACCCUCUGUUCGCAACUCGAGCUUAGGCUCAUUCACGGAGUCAUUGGUUGCACCGACCAUCAGUUUCUACGGGUGGACCAACAGUCCCCCACCCUACUAGUAGGCCUACUGACUAAACUCGUCUCAACGACGCCUAGCGUCUCUCGCUCGCAAGCGUAGACCCAAUCAUCAUUGGGCGACAUUCUCAUUGGAGAACUCGCACACACUCCAACCAGGAGCUAUCAAGACCCCAAUCCAUAUCAAAUCCUUGGGUCGGGUCACUACACACUCGGUGUAUUAUCAAUCUCGCACUCUAACACGUGACAUUCCACGUACUCGGGUCUAAGCUCGGACUACCGUCCUGACCAAAACUCUCGCCCUACCAAUAGGUACCGGGCCGCUGUCUCUCACAGCUGACUGCGCCUGCCCACUGGGCCCAGGCUCCACAGUCCACAAGUGGUCCAGGCACGAGUCGUCCCCAAGCACUACCCACCAACGUCGUCCUACACGACAUGCUCUACAGAGCUUCAAGUACCACUAUCGGCUCCUAUGCACCUAGUGCGAGCCACCAGCCCCACGAGCGAUCCAUGGCCCGCUUCACACUUAGCCCUGCUAAAGUGCUACUGCCAACUCACUCAACUGGCUGAAUCGAAACCGCACCUCACGAGUAAUUAUACUCGAGCGCUCUACGCCUCUACAGCGUCUAACACGAAAUCCAGCAUCAGGCUGCUUGCCUAUGCACGUCCACUACACGAGCACAACUCGUUUGCCUCAACUUCGAGGUAUUUCUAGGCCAACGGGCCCUCGUCCGUCACUACACGGCUACUCUCACCUCAGUGAUUCUACUUUCACCGUCCGCUCUACCAGAACACAUUCUCAACUCCCAAGUCUUUCGGGUAUCCUCAACAUCAAGGCUCAACUCUCACAAUUUCCAAUCCAUUAUUUCGAGAGUCACUUACUAGAUCAUGUUCUCCACGAGCCUCAUUCCUUAUCGGAGAAUCAUCACUAGCCAUUAGCUAGCACCACUUGGCUUUCUACCAGCACCAACAGGUGCUACAUUCUCACGUUGCAAGCACGUUCGGGCUUCUACCUCUACCCGCCCCAACGGUCCCUACUAUGCAAUGUAUAAAUAGUAGCAACAGACCAGCAACAAAUGCAUGCUAUGCAUCAACUUGAGAUUAGCAAAAGCAUAUGUUUGCUUAAUUAACUCAUACCUGCCACGAGGUCAUCGGCAACGGCAGGCUCCGCAACUCGGGUCGCUUAUCCAAGCCCACUUGGCGCUCGUCGCGAACCCUCUGGUUGCAUCAUCCUCAACGGCCGCUCCCCCGACCAUGCCGCAGGUGGCUCACCUGCCGGCUGUCCCAGAGAGGAAUGGACCGUCGCUAGCGUCAAGGCCCGGCUAUCACCCUGCGGAUACUCGUCCCGCACAUGACCCGGCAGCCCACACUUGAAGCACUUGCCCUCGCGCUGCUCACACUGCUGUGGAAAAUGAGGGCCUCCACAAAUAGCACAUUUCGCCGAGGACCGAGUACGGUAUGUCCCCGGAGCUCGGGAUCGCGAGUGCGAAGUCCUUUGGGAACUCGAUUGAUCACUGGAUCCACCUGUCGGUCGUCCUUUCCCUUUUUCCUUGUAAUACGACUCGCGCUCUUCACGCAUAAACGCGUUGCCCUGUUCUAUCCACAAAGCCCGAUCCAGAACUUCAGCAAAAGUCUGCAACCUGUGUACAAGCACAGCCUUGUAAAGGCCUGGCCGCAGUCCACGCACAAAGCAGUCAGCCUUGUCCUUGUCAUCCCGUACCACGUUCGGGAUACAAUGCACGAUACGGGAGAAUUCCCGCUCGUAUUGCCUGACCGUGCGACUUCCUUGCCGCAGCUUAAGAAACCUCUCCUGAAGUUUCCGCUGCUCGCUAUCGGCGAAAUAAGUAGAGAACAACAUUCCCCGAAACUCUUCCCAAGUCAUAGGAGGGAGACUAGGCAGUCGAUCUCGCUUGACGCCUCUCCACCACACCUUCGCCGUUUGUUUCAGGCAAUGCGCGGCUAGGUUCACUUUGUCUCGCUCCAGCGUGUACAGAUCCUCAAAGAGUGUUUCCAUGGAAUCGAUCCACAUUUCAACGACCCACGGAUCUGCAUCUUCACCAUCAAAAGUAGGCGGAUCAAACUUCUUGAAAGUCAUGAGGGCCGCUAAAGCUCGCUCCCUCUCCGCCGCAACCUCUGGGCCAACAGGAGUCGGAUCGCCCAACCCCGACGGAAACAGCUCCGCCGCAACUCCCGGCUGUCCUCGACCAGCCGCAGCUGGUGCUGCCACCAGCCGAUCCACAGUCUCUUGGAGUCGUUCCAUUCGCUCCUCUUGGCGCAUAGCAGCCUCCUGCUGCCGCUGCACCACAUCAGCUUGUUGCCGCAUCACUCCAAUGAGUGUGGCCAACUGAUCACGAAGCUCUGAGUCUCCGCUCGCGUUGAUUUGCUCAGGGACGCCACUUGUCCCCUCCCGCGCCGAUCUGGACAAAGAUCGCCUACGCGGUGCCAUCGUUUCCUGAAACACGAUAACUCGAUUAGCUCUCGACCAACCUGGGUCGAACACGAGACCACUAACACCGGCUCAAAAGCCAAUCAGGCGAAAGUCAAACAAGGACGUCUAUUCUCGUCACUCGGCUUUAUGUUGUGCGCGCCCAACAUAAACACACUUGGUCGAGAAUAAACCAUACCUUGAGUCUGCCUCUAAAAUCCGUCUUAGAGGUUAUAACACAACCCAAUCCAUUACCUUUCGCCACAACUCACAAGUCCUCGUCUCUCACGAGCCUUAUUCUCCUAUGGUUUCACUAUCCUAGGGUCUCCUAGGUCUGUCUAAACCAUUUUUCCCAUUUUCUACUUUAUGCUCUGAUACCACAAACUGUCACGACCCGCGACCACCCGCCUAUUUGGCCGAGGUCCCGGCGCCGCCGACAUCGCCGAAUGGACAGGGUUUUCCCUGUACUACGGACAGAGUCUCCCCUGUACAUUCAAGGCAUCGCAAUCCAAACAGGUACAAAGGUUCCAACCAGGAACAGAUAUAAAUCAAACAGAUUGCAGAUGGAGGGUAUCAUACAACAUAAACACACCUUAAAGUAUUACAUUCAUUCUCAUUCAUAGUUUUUACAUCACAAUUACCAUUCCUUUAAUCCAAAUGCAAUCUAAAUUAUUACAACUUAAACAAGCUUGAUACAUUUCUUUUCAUUUCUUUAAAACCCUUAAGCUAGACUGUCACAGGGUACAACUAUCUCGGUCUCUGGGGUAGGACGCUAUCUGCAGAACUACGCCCUUGCCUUGCGCCGCCGCGCCGCACACGUGUGUACCUGUACCUGUACCCCCAAAACAGCAACACGGGGGUGAGACUAUUGUCCAUAGUCCUCAGUGGGUUUAGCCACCCAAGAGAACAAGCUCAGCCAACAGGUCUAACGAGGCACUGAAACAUGUUAGUUCAACAAUAUACA